AGUGGCGCACGGGUGCGUAACGCGUAUACACCUACCUUAUACAGGGGUAUAGCCCAGGGAAACUUGGAUUAACACCCCAUAGUUUGGCAUCAUUAAAACUACGGUGGUAUAAGAUGGGUAUGCGUCCCAUUAGCUUGUUGGUGUGGUAACGGCACACCAAGGCAACGAUGGGUAGGGGCCCUGAGAGGGGGAUCCCCCACACUGGUACUGAGACACGGACCAGACUCCUACGGGAGGCAGCAGUGAGGAAUAUUGGACAAUGGGCGGGAGCCUGAUCCAGCCAUGCCGCGUGCAGGAAGACUGCCUAUGGGUUGUAAACUGCUUUUAUACGGGAAGAAACCCACCUACGUGUAGGUGGCUGACGGUACCGUAAGAAUAAGGACCGGCUAACUCCGUGCCAGCAGCCGCGGUAAUACGGAGGGUCCGAGCGUUAUCCGGAAUCAUUGGGUUUAAAGGGUCCGCAGGCGGCCAGAUAAGUCAGUGGUGAAAUUCCGUGGCUCAACCACGGAACUGCCAUUGAUACUGUUUGGCUUGAAUCAGUUCGAGGAUGCCGGAAUGUGUGGUGUAGCGGUGAAAUGCAUAGAUAUCACACAGAACACCAAUUGCGAAGGCAGUGUCCAGACUGUUAUUGACGCUGAUGACGAAGCGUGGGUAGCGACAGGAUUAAAUACCCUGGUA
rnacentral:rRNA from 1 species